GGUUAAGCGACUAAGCGUACACGGUGGAUGCCCUGGCAGUCAGAGGCGAUGAAGGGCGUGCUAAUCUGCGAUAAGCGCCGGUAAGGUGAUAUGAACCGUUAUAACCGGCGAUACCCGAAUGGGGAAACCCAGUGUGAUUCGUCACACUAUCAUUAACUGAAUCCAUAGGUUAAUGAGGCGAACCGGGGGAACUGAAACAUCUAAGUACCCCGAGGAAAAGAAAUCAACCGAGAUUCCCCCAGUAGCGGCGAGCGAACGGGGAGGAGCCCAGAGCCUGAAUCAGCAUGUGUGUUAGUGGAAGCGUCUGGAAAGGCGCGCGAUACAGGGUGACAGCCCCGUACACAAAAGCGCAUGUGCUGUGAGCUCGAUGAGUAGGGCGGGACACGUGGUAUCCUGUCUGAAUAUGGGGGGACCAUCCUCCAAGGCUAAAUACUCCUGACUGACCGAUAGUGAACCAGUACCGUGAGGGAAAGGCGAAAAGAACCCCGGCGAGGGGAGUGAAAAAGAACCUGAAACCGUGUACGUACAAGCAGUGGGAGCCUCUUUUAUGGGGUGACUGCGUACCUUUUGUAUAAUGGGUCAGCGACUUAUAUUCUGUAGCAAGGUUAACCGUAUAGGGGAGCCGGAGGGAAACCGAGUCUUAACCGGGCGUUAAGUUGCAGGGUAUAGACCCGAAACCCGGUGAUCUAGCCAUGGGCAGGUUGAAGGUUGGGUAACACUAACUGGAGGACCGAACCGACUAAUGUUGAAAAAUUAGCGGAUGACCUGUGGCU
rnacentral:rRNA from 1 species